UGGGGAAUAUUGGACAAUGGGCGCAAGCCUGAUCCAGCCAUGCCGCGUGGGUGAUGAAGGCCCUAGGGUUGUAAAGCCCUUUCGGCGGGGAAGAUAAUGACGGUACCCGCAGAAGAAGCCCCGGCUAACUUCGUGCCAGCAGCCGCGGUAAUACGAAGGGGGCUAGCGUUGCUCGGAAUCACUGGGCGUAAAGCGCACGUAGGCGGCUUCUUAAGUCGGUGGUGAAAUCCUGGAGCUCAACUCCAGAACUGCCUUCGAUACUGAGAGGCUCGAGUCCGGGAGAGGUGAGUGGAACUGCGAGUGUAGAGGUGAAAUUCGUAGAUAUUCGCAAGAACACCAGUGGCGAAGGCGGCUCACUGGCCCGGUACUGACGCUGAGGUGCGAAAGCGUGGGGAGCAAACAGGAUUAGAUACCCAUGUAGUCCCUGAGCGGGCUGGCAAGGCGCAU
rnacentral:rRNA from 1 species